rnacentral:rRNA from 1 species
GACGGAGGAUGCAAGCGUUAUCCGGAAUGAUUGGGCGUAAAGCGUUCGCAGGAGGCUGUUCAAGUCUGCUGUCAAAGACCGGGGCUUAACCCCAGAGAGGCAGUGGAAACUGAAUGGCUGGAGUGCAGAUCGUGUAGAGGGAAUUCCCAGUGUAGCGGUGAAAUGCGUAGAGAUUGGGAAGAACACCGGUGGCGAAAGCGCUCCGCUGGACUGCAACUGACACUGAGGGACGAAAGCUAGGGGAGCGAAAGGG